UGUUUGAUCCUGGCUCAGGACGAACGCUGGCGGCGUGCCUAAUACAUGCAAGUCGAGCGGACAGAUGGGAGCUUGCUCCCUGAUGUUAGCGGCGGACGGGUGAGUAACACGUGGGUAACCUGCCUGUAAGACUGGGAUAACUCCGGGAAACCGGGGCUAAUACCGGAUGGUUGUYUGAACCGCAUGGUUCAGACAUAAAAGGUGGCUUCGGCUACCACUUACAGAUGGACCCGCGGCGCAUUAGCUAGUUGGUGAGGUAACGGCUCACCAAGGCGACGAUGCGUAGCCGACCUGAGAGGGUGAUCGGCCACACUGGGACUGAGACACGGCCCAGACUCCUACGGGAGGCAGCAGUAGGGAAUCUUCCGCAAUGGACGAAAGUCUGACGGAGCAACGCCGCGUGAGUGAUGAAGGUUUUCGGAUCGUAAAGCUCUGUUGUUAGGGAAGAACAAGUGCCGUUCAAAUAGGGCGGCACCUUGACGGUACCUAACCAGAAAGCCACGGCUAACUACGUGCCAGCAGC
rnacentral:rRNA from 1 species